rnacentral:rRNA from 1 species
AUUGAACGCUGGCGGCAGGCUUAACACAUGCAAGUCGAGCGAGCGGCGGACGGGUGAGUAAUGUCUGGGAAACUGCCUGAUGGAGGGGGAUAACUAAUGGAAACGGUAGCUAAUACCGCAUACCAUCAGAUGUGCCCAGCUGGGGUGAGCUAGUAGGUGGGGUAAUGGAUCACCUAGGCGACGAUCCCUAGCUGGUCUGAGAGGAUGCCCAGCCACACGGGAGCUGAGACAGGGUCCAGACGCCUACGGGAGGCAGCAUGGGGGAAUAUUGCACAAUGGGCGCAAUCCUGAUGCAGCCAUGCCGCGUGUGUGAAGAAGGCCUUCGGGUUGUAAAGCACUGUCAGCGAGGAGGCGUUACUCGCAGAAGAAGCACCGGCUAACUCCGUGCCAGCAGCCGCGGUAAUUC